rnacentral:misc_RNA from 1 species
UGACUGGGUAAGGCUACCUUAUUUGGUUCAUGAAGCAAACAAUCGUCUGCGGAAUCCAAGAUCUGCUGAAAACGAGGACAAACGAUUGGACGACGCGUAUCUGCUCUGGUUUGUCUUCGGUUUGUUUGGUAAGAAAAUGUUCAUUAAAGAUGUAUACGAUAGAUACUUCUUAAAACGUGUACAUAAAUUUUUGCACUAAAUUCAAUGCCUGACAAUAUCUUCCUUACGUAUUCACAGGUUUUCAUCACUUCUACCUGAGGAACAAAAGCUUGGGUUUCCUCUAUUUUUUCACAUGUGGUCUGUUUGGACUCGGGUGGUUAGUGGAUCUCUUCCGCCUCCAUUCAGUAGUUCGCAAGACAAAUGCAAAACACAGAAGUGGGUUGGACAAGUUUGAGGACUAUUCCCUCCUCAUGGCAUAUACAUUUAAUCUCUUUCCCAUUACUGGUAUACUUGGCGGGCAACAUUUUUACUUAGGCCGAUACUUUUUCGGUGUCGCUUACUUCAUAACAUUCGGACUCCUUGGUUUUGGGUGGUUUUUGGAUAUUUUCCGACUUCCUGUACUCGUUCGUCGAGCCAAUGAGAAAGUACACAAUCAGAAGUACAACUGUCCUACACUACAGAAGGUUUAUCUAGACGAUGCUUAUAUUCUGUGGUUUCCUUUUGGCUUGCAUGGGUUUCAUCAUUUCUAUUUACGGCGGUACGUUUGGGGCUUUCUUUACCAUUUUACUUUUGGAUUAUUCGGGAUAGGCUGGCUUGUUGACAUGUGUCGAAUCCCGAGUCUGGUCCGAGAAUAUAAUGAACGGCUUAGCAUGACGCCUCUUAUUGUCCAGGAACCUCGAGAACACAGAACAUAUCCUACAACGAUGUCAAAUCCCCCAAACAAUGGUGCAUAUCAAACACCAAGGACUGGUCACUACCCAACAGCACCACCAACGACGACCGAGCCCUACUGCGGAACGACUGGGCCCCACCCGACGAUGACUGGGCCCUACCCCAUGGCACCGCCAGUUCCUCCCAUCGUCUCAACUCCUGUUUAUGGAUAUUCUGGUAUGUAUUCCUGUGUAUCAUCGUCGCUAGCCAAAUUUCUCUGAUAUGACAUGUACUUACAUGUAUAUGUUAUAAUAUAUUUCUUUCGAAAAGAUAAGAGGACCAGAAGCAUUAGACCAGCAACGAUGUCUAGAACAGUACAAAACAUUCUGUUAUAUUAAAGAUUCCCGUAUUUGCCAGGGCGAAGAUUUAUAGAUAUCAAUUUAAAAAGAAAUUAUAUAUAAUAAUAGUGUAAACCGUGUUGGAAUGACAGAACUUUGAAUCAGAAUAGUACUGAACUUCUGUACGUAUAACUUUGUCAGUAUUUAUUAUUGUGUGUCACCUAGGUGAAGUAUCCGACCCACCUGUCUACACGGAAGCCCCACCCCCGUACACUGAAUAAGUGAGGACAUGGAGAAAAGGACACCUACCCUGUAAAGCCUGUCUGAAAAAUUGAAAAUAUAUAAGUGGACACGUUUGUCAUUUCUUAAUAAUUAUGUCUUUAUAUUUACAUUUUCAACUGUAUUUGUCUGUAAUAACACUAUGAAUCGAUUUUGAACCCUAAAACCCAAUAACUUCAUAAAACAUGAGUGACAC